CCCAAAUAUCACAAAUCAUAUAAGAUUCCAAACAAUUUAGAAUUGAUCAAUCACUGUGAAAUGCCAAGUUAUUUACCCAAGGCAUGUUUUGUUCCACAACACUAUAAUGCAGAUGCAUAAGAGAUUAGGUUAUCUAACAAGGCAUGUUUUGUUCCACAACACUCUAAUGCAAAUGCUACCUUGAUGCCUGGUGGAGAUGCUGAAAGUAAUGAAAACCAAUAGAAAAAGGUUAGCAUUUCCAAGAAAUGAGCUUUUCUCGAGAUAUAACCAUGAGAACAUUGUAUUAAGUUACUAUUGUAAAACACAGUUUGUGAAGCAGAGCCCUCUCAAAAGGAAAUUGAGGUUUUCAGUUUUAAAAAGAGAUAAA